AGCAAUCCUACACAUGGACUGAGUUUCCACACAGGAGCUGAAGAAAGAUGAUCGUGUUCUUAGUACCUAGCUGCAGUGAGGGCUCAGAUGGUGUGCAUGGAUAUCCUCAAAGUCUGUCUGGCUGUCAUCUCCAGAGGCUAGCUUCCUAAAGGGGAAUGACUCCUGGAUGAUGGUCACUUCCUGAGAAGCAGUGCUCUAUGGCUAGGGACCCUCUCCCCAGUUGGUGAUUUUUAGACUCUGUGAGUACAGAAUAAAACCUUGCUGACCCACUGCAGAGCAUAAGAUAGUAUUAACGACCUGAAAUAUGUUUGGUAUUCUGGAUUUGAAAUAAUAGAGAUCUUUUGAAGAGCUUCUUUGUUGCUUCACCAAGACUACAGACAAAAAAACAAGCUCAGUCUUACUUGGGAGUCAGUAGCAAAGCAUCAGAUGUCUGGAUCUAUCCUAAACAAAGGUAAGUGAAAUGCAGACUAGAAAUCCUUUUCAGGAGUUCAGAGUUCUUGUGAAUAUUUAACAGCUACCUGUGCAAUGGGUUGUGCUGGAUGGCACAAAAUAUUCUGCAACUGACAUGCUGGUUUCUGACUUAUGCGUUAGCUCAUUACCAGAACAAGGAAAAAAAAUGAAAGAUAUGACAGUAGAGUACUGGUAAAGUUACUGAACAUAUUCAUUUCCCAUUUCGUUCUUUUGGAGAUUCUGGUGAACUUACACUCUUAGAAUCUUAAAAUAACAUGCGACAUCUCAAAUGGGUGACACAAACUAGUUGACUAUUUUCAGCCAGUUGGUUUUACUUGACUUUCCAAAUUCACGUAACCAAUAUUUGGAAGAGAGAAAACUCCUUAAAUCCCAAGGACUAGAAUGCAAGCAAACACGUUUCACCUCUUUUUUUCUGGAUGAAACAAGUGACAGAUGUGAAACUGCUAUUAGCUGAAAGUAAAUAAGGAGCAGAUUUCAAAAGCAGAGAAGAAUUAAUCUACAGUAUUAAGAAAAAAGUUUGUGGAUAGUAGAAAUCAGACUAAGAUUAAAGUCAAAAGAAAAGUAGGAACAGAAGAAGCAUAACAAAAUAUGAUAAAAUGUAUCAAUCAUUAAGGAGCGGAGAUGAAACUAUUUUUAAUUCUGCACUGUGGUAAAAAAAGAAGGCAUCUGUUCUUAUUAAAUAUUUUUGGUCUUCAAUUUCAUGUCAGAAUGCAAAUAUUUAUGUACACAUCAGUCUUCAAUAUAUUAUUUUC
ensembl:lncRNA